rnacentral:rRNA from 1 species
AUACGUAGGGUGCGAGCGUUGUCCGGAAUUACUGGGCGUAAAGAGCUCGUAGGUGGUUUGUCGCGUCGUCUGUGAAAUUCCGGGGCUUAACUCCGGGCGUGCAGGCGGUACGGGCAUAACUUGAGUACUGUAGGGGAGACUGGAAUUCCUGGUGUAGCGGUGAAAUGCGCAGAUAUCAGGAGGAACGCCGGGGGCGAAGGCGGGUCGCUGGGCAGUACCUGACGCUGAGGAGCGAAAGCAUGGGUAGCGAACAGGAUUGGAUGCCCUGGUAGUCCAUGCCGUAAACGGUGGGCGCUAGGUGUAGGGGUCUUCCACGACUUCUGUGCCGUAGCUAACGCAUUAAGCGCCCCGCCUGGGGAGUACGGCCGCAAGGCUAAAACUCAAAUGAAUUGACGGGG